GCGGGAGUCGCCCAGCCUGGCCAAAGGCGUAGGGCUUAGGACCCUAUAUCUCAGGAUUUCGUGGGUUCAAAUCCCACCUCCCGCA
rnacentral:tRNA from 1 species